AGGGAUUAGCAUGGAGAGUAGGUGUCUUGUUUUAGAGACCAAACCUGCUGGAAGCCUCAAAGCUUAAAUCUGUACAGCAUCUCUAUAAAAUACUUGAGACGUGGCUGGACUCUGAGGACGUAAUGCUUGCAGGCUCCUAUGCACUUUGGGAGCUCUCUACCGUGGAGGAAAGCAGACGCCUUUAUCCAACGCGACUUACAGACUAGGGUGUGUGAGCUAUGCAUCAGCUGCAGAGUCACUUACAACUACGUCCCACCCGAAGGACGGAGCACAAGGAGGUUAAGUGACUUGCUCAGGGUCACAUAAUGAGGCAGUGGCUGAGGUGGGAUUUGAACCGGGGACCUCCUGGUUAUGAACCCGUUGCUUUAACCACUGGACCACACAGCCUCCUAUUUUUACCAUGUCAAGCUUUGAAAAGGCACCAAGGUUUGAACACUUUGAAAGCAAGGUAUGGAUUGACUCUGAAGCCUGCUGGCAAGUUGUGACCCCCGCUUUCCAUCUUCAACACUUCAGUACCAGAUAUUGAAAUACGGAUCCCCAGUUUCCCUUUGUCUGAGAAGAGGUGAGCAAGAGAGGCAUUGAGCACUAGGCAGUCACUCUCUGCGAUCACAGUG